rnacentral:lncRNA from 1 species
ACAUGUUGAAGAGCUCUGCUUAACUUGGUGAAAUGCUGAGAUAAACAAAUCUGUACAUAAAGCUAUAUAAGGAUUGGGCAUACACAGUACCAAUUAACACUGGAGUGCAGACUUCAAAACCUUUGUGGGUAUCUGAACUACCUAUGGUCAUUUUAAUUUUUCUGCAUUUUUAUGCUUGGGUGGAAAUCUCCUGAAUAUGAUUUCUACCAAAGCUUGAAAACAAUUGUUCUGUGGCAUAGCACUUGACCACACAUUAUAAAGAAUAUCCAUGUCUCUACCAGCAGUCACUUCAAAACAACAUACACUUUUUCUAUUCUGUUUCUCAAAAUACCUCCAACCUCUAUUCAAAGCCACUUCUACAUUUUAAGUAUUGAUUAUAGCAGGAUCCUAUUGCUGCCACAAAAAAAUCUAUACAAGGAUAUGGCAGUGCCAUAAUACAUGAUCAUUUCCAAUUACAGAAACAACUUGUGAAUUGUAGUUAGGGAAGGCCACUAGGACUCCAUAUUUACAAGGACAGCAUGACAUGCUUUCACUGUUCUGUCCACAAAGAUGUGGUCCGUGGUUUGACUUCAUGCAUUUAGCUACCUUAGAAUGAAAACACCUAGCUGCCAUGCUCUGACCCUAGGCAUUCCCCUUCUCUUUAAUAAGACUGCUACAAGCUAUUGUAUAC